rnacentral:rRNA from 1 species
UACGUAGGUGGCGAGCGUUGUCCGGAUUUACUGGGCGUAAAGAGCGCGCAGGCGGUCGUGCAAGUCGCGUGUGAAAUCCCUCGGCUCAACCGGGGAACUGCGUGUGAUACUGGCGGGCUUGAAUUCGGGAGAGGGAUGUGGAAUUCCAGGUGUAGCGGUGAAAUGCGUAGAUAUCUGGAGGAACACCGGUGGCGAAGGCGGCAUCCUGGACCGAGAUUGACGCUGAGGCGCGAAAGCUAGGGGAGCAAAACGGG